CAACAUAUUAGUAGAUAAAAAUAUACAUUUUUAUACAUAGAUAAAAAUCUGUAUAGCAUGCUUUGAUCAACACAUAUUUCACAUAACAGAUGAGGCACACACACACAUAACACAUAUUUCAUAGAGAAUAAAUCAUAUCUAUGAGAUAGAAGAGAGUGAAUACACAUUCACACAUAUAAACAACAAUAUACUUAAUACACUCAAACCAUACUUGUAUUAUUAUCGUGUUUAUGAAAGGUAGUAUACACUCACUUGAUCAGAAGAUGAUCGGACAGCACUACGACUUGCAGAAGUAGUAAUCCUCAGCAGAUCUGGAAGAUCUUCACAAAAAUCGAACUUCUCGCGGGCAGAGCUUCGGCUCGGGAACCGCACUUCUCGGGAUCUUCGGGAUCUCGGGACUUGCCUCGGGGCUAGAGUAUGAUACCGGGGCUUCGGGGUAGCUUCGGGGGUUUUUGCACAGAGCUUCGACACGAAAACGAGAGGGAAUUGGCAAAAAUACCCGGAACCCUCGCAUCCUAUUUAUAGGAGGCUGGAGCCUCGGAGUACGCGGGGCGUACUGCGUUACGCGGGGCGUACUGCCCAAAACGUCAUUGCUUACGUAUCCGAAGUGCUCGAGUGCGAGUGUCGACAUCCCUCGGAGUACGCGGGGCGUACUCGAGUACGCGGGGCGUACCUCGGAUCAGAUCGGUGACUCCUUCGGAUAAUGCUUCCGAAUUUUGAUUUAAAUAUAAAUACAAAAUGAUUAAUAAACUUCGGAAAUUCAUAACUUCUUCAUACGAACUCCGUUUUCGACGUUCUUUAUAUCCACGGAAAGGUGAGACCACGCUCUACGACUUUCGUUUAGACUCCGUCGGCUAAUUUUGACUUUAUUUUUAUUAAUUAUUUUUAAUAGGCCGCGACAGAAACUUUCGUUAUAAAUUCAUAACUUCUUCGUUUGACGUCCGUUCUCGCCUAACUUUUUAUCGCUUCGAUACCAACAAUGAGAUCUUCGAUUCUCAUUUAGAUUGCUUCGGCUAACAACCGCUCGAUCUCAAAUCGAGUAAAACAGGCUGUAUAUCGCUAAGCCGGAACUUCGAUAAAUCAUAACUUCCUCAUACGAAGUCAGAUUUGGGCGUUCUAUAUAUAUUCGGAAACCUCGUUUCAACUACUACAACAUUAACCAAAUAUAUUAAGUUUAUUUUACACUUAAAUUUUGACGCUUAUUUUUAUUCUUAAUUAAUCAAACCACAUAAUUAAGCAAUUAAGCACAAAACACACAAUACUCAAAUAAUACAAUCUUAUUAUUUCAAAACGGGUUACAGAGGUUAACCUAGACUAUUACAUUGCUACAAAUGGCAAGCCCGAAACACAGGCGUUACAAUUCUCUCCACCUUAGAAUGAUUCCGUCCCCGGAAUCACACAUCAACAAACAAAUGCGGAUAGCGACUCAACAUGUCACUCUCCGUCUCCCAGGUGAGAUUCGGCCCAUUCGUGUGUUUCCAUCGGACAAGCACUAACCCAACCAUUUUGCGUCGCAACUUCUUAGUCUUUCGGUCAACAAUUGCCUCUGGUUCUUCAAUCAACCUUUUGUUCUCAUCAAUUCUCAAUUCAGAAAUUGGAAUUAUAUCGGGAACUUCUCCCGUGAACUUCCUCAAAUAACACACAUGAAAGGUGUUGUGAAUUCCAUUCAGUUCUUCGGGUAAUUCGAGCUUGUAAGCUUGAUUCCCAAUCCUCUGAAGGACUCUAAACGGUCCAAUAAACCUUGGACUCAACUUUCCCCUUUUACCAAAUCUUAUAAGUCCCUUCCACGGCGAGACUUUAAGCAAAACCGAAUCUCCAACCUCAAAAGUCAUCGGUCUUCGCUUCUUGUCAGCAUAGCUCUUUUGACGAUCUUGAGCUGCUAACAUUCUUUCCCUAAUUAUUUUCAACUUUUCAGCAGUUUGAUGAACCAACUCCGGUCCCAUAAACUGCUUUUCCCCAGCCUCAAGCCAACAAGACGGCGUACGACACUUCUGUCCAUACAAAGCUUGAUAAGGUGCCAUCUUAAUGCUCGAGUGAAAACUAUUAUUAUAGGAAAAUUCUACCAACGGUAAAUGUUCAUCCCAAUUACCUAGGAAUUCCAAGGUACAUGCUCUCAGCAUAUCUUCAAGUGUUUGUAUUGUUCUUUCACUCUGACCAUCAGUCUGCGGAUGGUAAGCUGUGCUUAAACAUAACUUGGUACCCAUUUCCUCUUGUAGACUUUUCCAAAACCUUGAGGUGAAACGGCUAUCACGAUCCGAUACAAUCGUUAACGGAACACCGUGAAGCCUCACAAUUUCCUUCACGUAAGAAUUCGCAAGCUUUUCCAUAGACCAUUUCUCCCUGGCCGCUAUGAAAUGCGCACUCUUAGUGAAUCGAUCAACGACCACCCAAAUCAUGUCGUGACCAUUCUUUGUUCUGGGCAGUUUAGUGACAAAAUCCAUAGCAAUGUCUUCCCACUUACCCAUAGGCACAGGCAAAGGUUCUAAACUCCCGUACGGUUUCUGAUGUUGUGUCUUGACUCUCGCACAAGUCACACACUCGGCCACAUACUUUGCAACAUCAAGCUUCAUCGUCGGCCACCAGUAGUAGGGUUUCAGGUCCCUAUACAUUUUAGUGCUACCCGGAUGAAUCGAGUACAUGGUCUUGUGAGCUUCUUCCAUCAGAAGAUCUCUAAUUCCUCCUGACUUAGGUACCCAAAUACGAUCUUGGAAUACCUUCAGUCCAUGACCGUUAGUACCAAACACCAACGUUUUACCCAAACGUUCCUCCUUUCGGUCAUUUUUCUCAGAAGCUUCCUCUUGAGCUUUCUUUAUACUUUCCACAAUGGUCGAGACAACUUCAAUUCUCAACGCUCUUGGCCUCUUCCUUUCAAGAUUGACCUUCCGACUGAGAGCAUCAGCAACAACAUUAGCUUUACCGGGGUGGUAAAGUAUCUCGCAGUCGUAGUCUUUAAGUAAUUCUAGCCAGCGUCGUUGCCUCAUAUUCAAUUCUUUCUGAUUAAAGAGGUAUUGGAGACUCUUAUGAUCAGUGAAAAGUUUGCACUUCGUGCCAUAGAGGUAAUGCCUCCAUAUUUUCAGAGCGAAAACUACCGCUGCCAACUCCAAAUCAUGAGUCGGGUAAUUCUUUUCAUGCUCUUUCAGCUGUCGAGACGCAUAUGCUAUCACCUUUUCUCUUUGGGUCAAAACACAACCCAAUCCAACACCAGACGCAUCGCUAUAAACAGCGAAGUCUUCAACUCCAUCGGGUAGAGAAAGUAUCGGUGCCUCGCAUAGCUUCUUCUUUAACUUCUCGAAUGCUUCUUUAUGCUUCUCACUCCAAGCAUAAGUAGCUCCUUUGUGGGUCAAAGCUGUUAAUGGAGUAGCAAUCGAAGAAAAGCCUUGGAUAAACCUUCGGUAAUAUCCGGCUAAUCCUAAAAAGCUUCGAAUCUCCGUGGGACUUUUCGGUUGUUCCCACUUCGUCACAGCUUCGAUCUUCGCUGGAUCAACCAUUAUCCCUUCUUGGUUGACCACGUGACCCAAGAAUUGGACUUCACGAAUCCAAAAAUCACAUUUGGAGAACUUCGCAUAAAGCUUCUCCUUCUUCAAAACUUCUAACACUUCUCGCAAGUGUCUGCCAUGCUCCUCCUGGCUUUUCGAGUAGAUCAGAAUGUCGUCUAUGAACACUAUCACGGAUUUAUCAAGGAAAGGAUUACAAACCCUAUUCAUCAAAUCCAUGAACGCUGCUGGAGCAUUGGUUAGUCCAAACGACAUAACCAAGAACUCGUAGUGUCCAUAUCUAGUUCUGAAUGCAGUCUUCUCGAUAUCUUGCUCUCUUACUUUCAGCUGAUGAUAUCCUGACCUAAGAUCGAUCUUCGAGAAAUAGCUCGAACCUUGCAAUUGAUCAAACAGGUCAUCAAUCCUCGGCAACGGAUAUCUAUUCUUUAUUGUUGCCUUGUUCAGCUCUCUGUAAUCGAUGCACAUUCUCAUACUUCCAUCUUUCUUCUUUACAAAUAACACCGGAGCUCCCCAGGGCGAUGAACUAGGUCUAAUGAAACCUUUGUCCAAUAACUCCUGAAGUUGCAUCAUUAGCUCCUUCAUCUCCGUCGGUGCUAAUCGAUAAGGUGCUUUUGCUAUUGGCGUGGUUCCUGGUAACAAGUCUAUUCUGAACUCCACUUGUCUAUCAGGUGGUAAUCCAGGAAGAUCCUCGGGAAAUACUUCCGGAUAAUCACACACCACUGGAAUGCUCUGCAUCACCUUCUUUUCUUUCUUAGCAUCAAUCACGAAUGCUAAAUAUGAUGUACAUCCCUUGGUCAAACACUUUCUGGCUUUCAUUAGAGAAAUGAUUCCAGAAUUCACUCUGCGUUUGUCCCCAUACACCAUAAACGAAUCUUUUCCAGGCGGGUUUACUUUAACUAUCUUCUUCUUGCACAAAAUUUCGGCAUCAUUGGCGCUAAGCCAAUCCAUUCCCAAGACGAUGUCGAAACCAUUUAGUUCGAUAGGCAAUAAUUCCUCGAGAAACUUAUUCCCAUUAAGGUCGAUCAAGACGUUUUUCAUACGAUGGCUAACAGGUACAAACUUGCCACUAGCUACUUCGACUAAUAAAGCAUUAUUUAGUCUAUCAACAGGCAAAGCUAGCUUUCUACCAAACUCAUGCGAAAUAAAGGAGUAGUUGGCUCCAGAAUCAAACAAUAUAUGAGCAGGUAAUUCGUUUACGAGAAAGGUACCUGAAGCGACAUCAGCUUCAUCUUUCGCAGCCUCAAGUGUCAUCUGGAAGGCUCUCGCCUUCGGCUUUGGUGGAAUGUUGGGCCUAGCUGCCUCCUUCUUCUUCGGACAGUCUUUCAAAAUAUGCCCCUCUUCAUUACACCCAAAACACAUCCUUUUGUUGUUCGGACAUUCAUUGGCAAAAUGUCCAACCUUUCCACACUUGUAGCAGGUUACAUCCUCGCUACAUUUCCCAAAGUGCUUUUUCUUACACUUAUCACACCACUUCGCUUCGCCUCCUUUUCCUCCAAACUUUUUCGAAUAAGAUUUCAAAAUUUUGCUUUUCUUACCGGAACCAGAUGUUCCCUCAAACUUUCUUUUCUCACCAACCUCAACCUUGUCGGUGGUUCUUCCCUUUAUCAUGUUCUCAACAGACUUGGCAGCCCAGAUAGCUGCCUCUAGAGUAAGUGCCUGACGUACUGGCACCUCGUACUCCCAUGGGAAUCCCUUCGCAUACCGGUCCACCUUUGUCAGCUCAUCUAACUCCAUCUUAUCGGUGAAGUUACUAGUGUAUUCAUCAACUGACAUGCUGCCUUUCGUCAAUGUCAGGAACUUGUUCUCCAACUCCAACAAAUUUUGAGCCGAACAGAACUUGCGCUUGAACUACGCCAAGAAUUCUGCCCAUGACAAUUACAGUGGCUCAUUAGGGCUUAUGGUCUUCCCUAGAGUGUUUCACCAACGAACGGCUCCACCUCGGAACUGACGCACGGCAUAGAUAGUCUGCAACUUACCUCUGCAGUCACAAGUCAUAAAGGCCAUUUCCAUUUAGGAGAUCCAAUCCAUAACCCCAAUCGGAUCCUCCUUUCCAUUGAAGGUCGAUGGUUUACAAGUCAAAAAGUCCUUGUACUUGCAUCCCAUUCCAUCAUUCCUUCCAUCAUGGUUAUCUUGCCUAACUAUCGGUGGGUUGGCUGGACCAACAGACCCACUGAAGUUUCCACCUUCCGAGUGCCCUUCAUUCAGUUCAGGCUCUUCCACACGAAUCGACAGUUCUUCACGAUUUUGUUGAAGCAACCGUCUAGUUUCAUCCAUCUGACGAUCCAACAUCGUCUGAAUCAUCAAUUGCACACCAGCCAUGGUUAUUGGCUCAGGUGCUGCUGCUACGACAGGUAUUGGCUCAAUCACUGGUGGUUGAUUCCUGUUUUCGUCAGCAUUUCCAACUCCACUUCUUGUUCUCACCAUUUUGAUCUACACCGAAUAAGGUGAAAUUAGAUCCUCAAUCAUGAUAGAUAUUCAAAUCAUCCUUAUCACUCCGAAACGUUUACAUGCUAGUUCUAAUAUCGUAGACGUACGCUUAGAAUCCUACACACAUAAGGUUUCUAGAUCCGGUCGGCAACAGACCAUAGAUCCGAACAAAUAAUAUCAUAUAUGGCAACAUAUAACAUUUAGCACAUAAAGCAUUUUAGGCAACUUUCCUAAAAUAAACUAGUGCUCGUGUCUAAAUCACAACAGACACACAUCUCAAAACUUCACUUAGCAUUCUAAGUUUAAGUCUAGAAAUCCUACAAAUUCCUAGUUCGCUUAAACUAAUGCUCUGAUACCAACUGUGACAUCCCCAAAAUCUCGGCCAGAAAAGACCGAUUUUCAUUUAUGCUUUUAAAUAUUUUCAGAGUAAAUCCUUUUGAUUUGAAAGAGUUGCGGAAUUUGUUCCCAAAAACAAAACAUGAUAAAACAUUGUUUACCGAAGCAUUUCAUAAAAGAAAUGUAUUUUCAUUAUAAUCAAAACUCGGGGUGUCAUGUUCCGAUACAGACCAAUAAGCAUAAACGAAUACAUUACAAGUCAUAUAACAAAUAUAAACAUAUGCAGACUUGUAAACAAAACAACUUGAUGGUUCAUCCAUCUCAUGCCCUUCCGCCACUACCUGUAAUACAAUUUAAAACUGAGUGGGUCAGGCUUGGGAGCCUGGUGAGCAUAUAGGGUUUUCAACCCACAAUAAAUAUCAUAUUUAAUUUUCACCAACCAACAAUAACCCAAUUACCCAUUCCCGUUAUUCUCACUUUAAUGUCCCUAAAACAACUAACAUAAGGGACCUAGUCUAAGAAUAUUUCAUCGGGGCGACAACACAUGCUUCGGGGGUACCUCAGCAAUAUAAGUCAAAUAAGGCAACCAUGAGGGGGAUAGAGUACAGCGAAUGAACACCCAAGUUCAUUAACACCUACAGGUGGCGAACCUGCUAAUGUUUCCACAAGACUAUCUAGAAUAGCCCGUGGUCGUCAUCUAAACUCCACUAGAUUAUUAAAUCAAACAACAACGAGGCCUCUCAUCUGUUUAUUACACACCAACUAUCUACCCAUGUUCUACCCAACAUAUUAGUAGAUAAAAAUAUACAUUUUUAUACAUAGAUAAAAACCUGUAUAGCAUGCUUUGAUCAACACAUAUUUCACAUAACAGAAGAGGCACACACACACAUAACACAUAUUUCAUAGAGAAUAACUCAGAUCUAUGAGAUAGAAGAGAGUGAAUAUACAUUCACACAUAUAACAACAAAAUAUAUACACAUAGCACGUAUUUUAUAUAAAAUACUUUAUAAUAAUGUGUUGGAAGAAGGUAACUACACACUCACUUGAUCAGAAGAUGAUCGGACAGCACUACGACUUGCAGAAGUAGUAAUCCUCAGCAGAUCUGGAAGAUCUUCACAAAAAUCGAACUUCUUGCGGACAGAGCUUCGGCUCGGGAACCGCACUUCUCGGGAUCUUCGGGAUCUCGGGACUUGCCUCGGGGCUCGAGUAUGAUACCGGGGCUUC
rnacentral:lncRNA from 1 species